rnacentral:lncRNA from 1 species
UCGAACAACCAGCAGAGGAGUAGGCGACCACGAUUCCGGACGGCGGGCUGCGUUCCAGUCGGCUGCUGCGUUCCAGACGGCGGAUUCCGGCGGCGCUCCAAACUCUGAAACUGCACUGGAACACUGAAAAAUGGCAAAAAAAAGUCGGAAGCCGGGAGAACAAACCGCAAAAAUGACUUAUGCCUUCAUACAGGCGGGUCAAUACGAUUUGAUCAACACCGUGUCAACAUGGUCAGCUAAUCAUAGAUAA